AUCAGCAAUAAAAAAAUAAAUAAAACAGCAACAUAUUUUUAAUAAAGCAUGGUCCCUAAAUAAGUCUCUCCUGGUGUAUCUGCUGCUGCUCAGUUCAAGAAAUAGUAAUCUGUUCUGAGGCUGUAGGAAAAACAUUUGUCUGUGCCAAGCCCUUUGGGAAAUAGGAUGGAAGACCCAUAUCAAGCAUCAUGAAACUUGUAGACCUUCAGAAGAACUUACCAGGGCCGUGUCGACUGCAUGUGAUUUUUACGUCACAUAUUGAGUUAAUCUGCAUUUGAAAUGUGUACUUUAGUUAUGGAAAAAAGAAGUUUGUUGUUAAAAAUGCAAACUAUACAAGAGGCAUGGAGUGGAAAUGUAUCCUUCAGCUGGACAAUGCUUUCUAAUGCAGCCAGAGGUAGCAGGUGUCCAACACAGCAAUGGUCGGAGGUAGAGGCCAGUGGGGUGCUGGCCUCACCAGCAAGAAAUGCAGCAUGUGGUGCAGAAGACAGGAUGCAGGAUGAGGUCACAGGGAGAUGGGGGCAUGCCACAGAGAGUGCCUGGCGCCUCUUGGGGAUGGGAGGAGAGUGAAUGAGUGUCAGCCAGGACACGGAGGUGUGGGCAGGAUGUGGUUACUGGGGGCAGUCUGCUAUGAUUGGUUCCGAUGUGGGCCAUGCUGGGAGAUUCGGCAUGGGAGAAAUAAGCAACAGUGGGUCUUGAGGACUCCUGUGUGCCAAAUUAAGGGUGCAGUGUCUCCCUAGAUAAGCCACCUGCAGAGUUGAAUGACAGGGUAGGGGCGGGGUGGUCAGAUUUACCCAGUGGCAGCAUGGAGGAAUGCUCCCAGUGGAGUUCCCACUGUGGCGCAGCGGAAGCAAAUCCGACUAGGAACCAUGAAGUUGUGGGUUUGAUCCCUGGCCUUUCUCAGUGGGUUAAGGAUCCAGCAUUGCCAUGAGCUGUGGUGUAGGUCACAGACAUGGCUGGGAUCUUUUGUUGCUGUGGCUGUGGUGGAGGCCGCCAUCUGUAGCUCCAAUUCGACACCUACCUAGCCUGGGAACCUCCAUAUGCCAUGGGUGCGGCCCUAAAAAGCAAAAAGAAAGAAAAAAAUAUGCUCCCAGAGAUAUCUCAAGCUUAAGAGAGGGACCUUCAGAAAUCCCAGCAGGGUCCUAUUAUGACCGCCUAGACCAAGCCUGAGGCAUGUAUUAACUUCCCUUUUCCUUCAGGCCUCCAAAGUAUUCAGACAGCCAGUCAUACCAAGUAGGCAAAGUUCAGCUGAGGAGAUAAAUGAGGGCUGGACAUGAAGAUUAUUGUGUUUUCUUCAUAAAAGUUUAUGAAGAGAGCCACCCCCCAUCCCUCCUCCCAGCUCUGCUCCAGCCUGAGCCAUGUUGGGCCUCACAGAGGCCAGCUGUCCUACGAAUCCAUCCACAUGUGCUUGCAGCACAAGGGCAGCUGGAGUGGUGACCGGCCCUCUAGGAAUAUAGGUGGAUGGAGGGCCUCUGGCCUUGCUGCCUCUGAGGUGUGUUUCUUUCAAAUGACCUUGCAGAGCAUGCUGGUUUGGUCACCCCCCCAGCAAACCUCUUUCAGUCCACCCCCUGCUCUUCUUGCUGGCUGACAGCCUGAGUUUCUGCCUUGGGGGCUCCUGGCUCAGUCACACGUGGGAGGAUUCCCAUGGAAACCUCACAAGAAGGAGAGGCGCGGGGAAGCCUCAUUGAUUCACGCUCCAGGAAGACUGGGCGUGAGACGGGUCCACCUGGAGCUGGACAGAUGGCUUUCUUUGUGAGCUCCUGGGAAGAAAGGUCUUGCCCAGCCUGGUGGUGCAUGAGCUCCAUGUGUGUAUAGAGGGAAAAGCUAAUGGAUGCCUGUAAAUAAAGACCUCAGGGGUUCUUCAGCUCAUUCACCACUGGCAGAUUGAUUCGGAAUGAGUGUCUUUUAAUGGAAUAGCCCCUCUACUUAACAUCUGUACUAAGAAAGUCCUCGAAACACCCCAGUCGAACUGGGUCCAAGUAGGUGCCAUUUGGCACCAUGGCACACAGCUGAAAAUGGAGGGCCGAAGAUGUUAAAUGACUUGCCCAAGCUCGUGGAGCUCUGUCCUCCUUGUCAUGCCUCGGUGGAAGCUCUCUUCUUCCUUCCUUCUUUCCUUCCUUCCUUGGCUUUUUAGGGCUGCACUCAAGGCAUAUGGAAGUUCCCAGGCCAGGGGUCAAAUUGGAGCUGUAGCUACCAGCCUAUACCACAGCCACAGCAACACAGGAUCUGAGCCACGCCCACGACCUACACCACAGCUCACGGCAACGCAGAUCCUUUACCCACUGGGCCAGGCCAGAGAUCAAACCUGAGUCCUCGUGGAUACUGCUCAAAUUCGUUAACCACUGAGCCAUGACGGGAACUCCCUGGAGGCUCUUUCUAAGGCAGCAGGUUGCUUUUAUUCCUUUGCUUGUGCUUGUGCACACAGAGAUGUGCACUCACCACUUUUUCUGAGCCAGAGCUCUGUAGAGUCCUGGGGACUCUGAAGAAGAGACCCAGACGCUGCUCUUGAGUUGUCCCUGGUUCUGGUGGGAAGGAGGCAGCUGAGGCGACAUCAUAGCCCCUUGGGGUAAAUCUGUGAUGGAGACAGGUGAGGGUCUCUGAGGACCCGGGCUGGGGAGCUCCCCAGUGGCACUGAUACCCAAGCUGAAUGAAUCACCCACGUGUGUGUAUGUGGGACGUGUGUGCAAGGGAGGGGGAAGGGGUACAGAGGGUCAGAAUACCAUGUGUGCACCUACGUGGUGCCUACGGGAAAAUCCAGGCAGGUUAGUGGGGAUGCUGUGAAGGGCUUCACAGAGGGAGAUAGGCCAGGAAAUCAUCAUGGAGCAUUUGGGGAGGAUUAGGGUUAGGAGCUUGUGCUUUAUCCUGAGAGCAGUGGAGAGCCUGUGGAGGAUUUUAAGCAGAGAGCAUGAUUAGAUCCGCUUUGCAUUUUACAAGCACUGUCCUAUAUAUUUGAAAGCAAGAUGCAGUCUAUUAUAGGAACUCAACUGGUAUCAAACUGAGCUGCUUUUUACAGUCCUUGUCAUUAUUCAGACCUGUCACAGAGUCUGACCCCUUUGGCGUGAGCUCUCCCCAGAGGGAAGUAAUCGGGUCUUACACCUUCCCGUAGCCUCAGAUCCCCAGGGAGGUAUCCUUGCUGCUGGUUAAAUGAAGGAAUGAAAUCCGCCCCCACCCCCUUCCCCAGCAAGUCCGGAGCCAUAGGCUGCAUUGAGGGGAGGGCAUUUCACCCAGUUGUUACCAAUUCCUGCAGCAGCCAUGUCUCCUGGCAGACCCCAUGCCUGGGUGAGCCCAGCAGAUAAGACUCCGAGAGUGGGAUUUUAGGUCCUGGGACUCUGAGGACUGAGUGUCACAUUUUGCAAACUCCUUCUUAAGAAGUGUCACAUCCAUGCUUGGGUCUCUUCCUUUCCCCAACGGGUUGCAAAACACCUGCCAGGGUUCUGGGAAGGGCAAUGGGCAAUUUGAGUUUUUGUUUUCUUUCUCAGCCAUCACCGAAGCCCUGGGGCAGAUCCUUCUAGAUAAUGUCAUUAAGCAUCCCAUCCAAGCAUGGCCUAAGAAAUUAUGUUUGGUUUGAGGAACUGUGAUGGAGGCAUCCUUGGGCAUCGUUCAGUAUGCCCACUGCUUGCUGGGUUGAGAGAUGAUAUUAUUCCUACCAGGAAGUUAGAUUCUGUUGUAUCUCCUCCUCUGUGCCUGGCCCAGUGCCACGUGCUGUGGCAGAGACUAGAGGAGAAGGUAACAAGCACAUACUCUCUCUGGCUGGAGGGAGAGGGCAGGAGCUGAGGCUGACUUGACCACAAUUGUGUGGGUCCCAAGCUCUCAGCAGCACAGAGUCCAGCACAUGGCAGCCAUCCACCGAAUGUUUGUUGAAUGAAUAAAUGAGGACUGGGAGCAGGAAGGGUGCACAGUGGUAUCUAAGAAGGGGCAGACUGGAUAGAGCCAAGGGUCAGCAGCUUAGAGUUGGUGUUUGUGGCUGAACUACAGCCCACGUCCCCAUCUCCUGACUCCAGUCCUGACCCUUCCCCUGCCAAAUCUUCUAGAGAGAGCAGGAAGCCAGCAUCUCCUUUCCACACCCGUGUGGGUACUCUGCCCUGCCUUCAAAGUUCAGUGCUUAUAUAUAUGCUUGGGGGUGUGGAAUGAAGAAGCCAGGGGAGAGCUUCCUGUCCCCAGAGGCAUGUACUCUCAAGGUAGAAAAAGCAGGUCAGUGGACCAGAAAGUCCUGGCUGGCUCAGGGGAACAGAGAUGUGGUGCAGGCACUCAGUGGCCCGGGGGGAUCAAGGCAGGCUUCCUGGGGUUGUUGGGCUCAAAGGCAGGACUGGGAAGGUGAGGAAGGAAGGACAGGGAGCCCCAACUGCCCAGACAAAGACAUGAUGAUUCACCUGUGACCCAAAUUCAGGAGUUGUAACUCUGCAUGAAGUGCUUUCUGUCUUCCAGCUCUGGCCUUGACCUUGUCUUCAUCUGGUCAUUCUGAUCCUGACCACUGUCUUUAACAGGCUCCACGGGACCAAAAUUAAGUUACUUAGCUCCUCUUUUAUUCAUUUGUUAGUUCAGUCACAGUUGCGGGAGACCAUAGGAGUUAGACCUUCCCUGGGGCGAGGACCACAGAGGCACUAAGUCCCAGCUGGGUGCAGGGGAGGUCUGGGUGGAGUAGAUCAGGCUGGAAGCUGGGGACUUCCGUGCAAAAGUCAUAGCCCCUUAUUGUAAGCAUUUAUAUUGAUCUCUGCCCUUUGUGGCUAUGAACCACCCUGCCUUUCGCCUCUGUAGCUGAAUCCUAGUGCACAGCCUGGUGUUUCUUUAGGCUGCAUUCAGGUGGUGAAAUGGCAAGUUCCCAUCGUGGCUCAGCGGAAAUGAAUCUGCCUAGUACCCAUGGGGUUCAAUCCCUGGCCUUGCUCUGUGGGUUAGGGAUUUGGUGUUGCCAUGAGCUGUGAUGUAGUUUGCAGACACGGCUCAGAUCCUGUGUUGCUGUGGCUGAGGUGUAGACCAGCAGCUACAGCUCUGAUUCUACCCCUAGCCUGGGAACCUCCAUAUGCCAUGGGUGUGGCCCUAAAAAG
ensembl:lncRNA